rfam:Nicotiana attenuata strain TT chromosome 2, whole genome shotgun sequence.
GUUCCUCUGUGGACAUCUGAUGAAAUUAGUAUGAUUUAGAGAAGACUAUUAACAUGGUUCUACGCAAGGAUGACAUGCACAAAUUUGAAAACAUCCAAGUUUCU